rnacentral:misc_RNA from 1 species
GUCAAACACAAUGCAAUUCACCUGCAAGAUCAAUAAUCAGACCCAUUACAAGCAUAUUUAGUACUGACAGGCUGGUGCACAUCAAUUCUGGUUUAAAGGAACAACACCUCAGCUUUAAUUUACCAGGAAUAAAGAUUCUUUUUUUAAUUGCUAUGAGGACUUGCUUAAGCUAGAAGCCUUAUGGUGCUCAUACUAUUUUUAAAUUUCAUCUUUCCAUAUAUUCAUUGGAAUUAAACAGAGAACAAGUAGGCUGCUUGGUUAUGCAACUAACAUUCAUAAGAAAUGCAAAACUGAGAUCGAAUUGAUAUCAAGAAGAAACACUAUACAAAAAGUUAAAUGACGGAGCAUAGAUCAAUGCAGUUAAUGUUAAAAACAAGCUUGACAACUUUUUAAUUUUCAAAGAGAUUGGUGGAUUUGGCCUUGAAACAGUAUUUGAAUAUGUUAACACAGUCAAAUAUUACAAGUUAGGACUAAAGAUGGAUUUCGUGAUUA